UACGUAGGGUGCAAGCGUUGUCCGGAAUUAUUGGGCGUAAAGAGCUCGUAGGCGGUCUGUCGCGUCGGCUGUGAAAACCCGGGGCUCAACCCCGGGCCUGCAGUCGAUACGGGCAGACUAGAGUUCGGCAGGGGAGACUGGAAUUCCUGGUGUAGCGGUGAAAUGCGCAGAUAUCAGGAGGAACACCGGUGGCGAAGGCGGGUCUCUGGGCCGAUACUGACGCUGAGGUGCGAAAGCGUGGGGAGCAAACAGG
rnacentral:rRNA from 1 species